rnacentral:rRNA from 1 species
AAUAGAUACCCAGGUAGUCCACGCCGUAAACGAUGAGUGCUAAGUGUUGGGGGGUUUCCGCCCCUCAGUGCUGCAGCUAACGCAUUAAGCACUCCGCCUGGGGAGUACGGUCGCAGGACUGAAACUCAAAGGAAUUGACGGGGGCCCGCACAAGCGGUGGAGCAUGUGGUUUAAUUCGAAGCAACGCGAAGAACCUUACCAGGUCUUGACAUCCCGGUGACCACUAUGGAGACAUAGUUUCCCCUUCGGGGGCAACGGUGACAGGUGGUGCAUGGUUGUCGUCAGCUCGUGUCGUGAGAUGUUGGGUUAAGUCCCGCAACGAGCGCAACCCUUAUUCUUAGUUGCCAUCAUUCAGUUGGGCACUCUAAGGAGACUGCCGGUGAUAAACCGGAGGAAGGUGGGGAUGACGUCAAAUCAUCAUGCCCCUUAUGACCUGGGCUACACACGUGCUACAAUGGACGGUACAAACGGUUGCCAACCCGCGAGGGGAGCUAAUCCGAUAAAACCGUUCUCAGUUCGGAUUGUAGGCUGCAACUCACCUAC